rnacentral:rRNA from 1 species
GACGAACGCUGGCGGCGUGCUUAACACAUGCAAGUCGAACGAAGUGGCGAACGGGUGAGUAAUACGUGGGUAACCUGCCCUCCUUUUUGGGAUAAGCCUUGGAAACGGGGUCUAAUACCGAAUACAGGUGGAUGGGCUCGCGGCCUAUCAGCUUGUGGGGGGGGUGAUGGCCUACCAAGGCGGUGACGGGUAGCGGGCCUGAGAGGGUGACCGGCCACAUUGGGAUUGAGAUACGGCCCGGCAGCCUACGGGAGGCAGCAGUGGGGGAUAUGGCACAAUGGGCGCAAGCCUGAUGCAGCCAUGCCGGGUGUGUGAAGAAGGCUUUCGGGUUGUAAAGCACUUUCAGCGGGGAGGCGUUACCCGCAGAAGAAGCACCGGCUAACUCCGUGCCAGCAGCCGCGGUAAUUC